UACAGAGGGGGCAAGCGUUGUUCGGAAUUACUGGGCGUAAAGGGCGCGUAGGCGGCCCGCUAAGUCGAACGUGAAAUCCCCGAGCUCAACUCGGGAACUGCGUCCGAUACUGGUGGGCUUGAAUCCGGGAGAGGGAUGCGGAAUUCCAGGUGUAGCGGUGAAAUGCGUAGAUAUCUGGAGGAACACCGGCGGCGAAGGCGGCAUCCUGGACCGGCAUUGACGCUGAGGCGCGAAAGCUAGGGGAGCAAACGGG
rnacentral:rRNA from 1 species